rnacentral:rRNA from 1 species
UACGGAGGGGGCCAGCGUUGUUCGGAAUCAUUGGGCGUAAAGGGCGCGUAGGCGGCCAAUCAAGUCCGACGUGAAAUUCCUCGGCUCAACCGGGGGCCUGCGUCGGAUACUGCUUGGCUUGAGUCCCGGAGAGGGUAGUGGAAUUCCCAGUGUAGCGGUGAAAUGCGUAGAUACUGGGAGGAACACCGGUGGCGAAGGCGGGUUGCUGGGCCGAUACUGACGCUGAGGAGCGAAAGCGUGGGGAGCGAACAGG